AUGCAAAGGACCAUUAUGGAAAGAACUCAGUGAGAAGGACACCAGCAGGCGCUGCGUUGUAAAUAUCUGUUCUUCACUGGAAUCAGUCUUCAUUGGAGAGACAGUUUAAGACAAAAGGCAAACAAAAUCGAAUCCCCAGAUAAAAAAACAAACUCAAGGUCCAACUUACCAGACAUGAUGACUGAGAUGAGGAGAGAUUCCCUGGAGAAAACCUUUGGAUCUCAACAACGUUCUGCUCUGCUUCAGCAAAAUGGCCAAGAACGAAAUUUCUACAAAAGUCUCCAAAAACAACAAGUCAAAUGUAUUCCAGCGGGGUCAGAGCAUACAACAAUAUUGUAAUAAAGCUGGGGACAUAUUA